AAGUCGACGCGCUUCACCCGCUGAUUACAUUUUCGACGACCGCCGACUGUGUUCACCGCUAUCGUGCUUCGAGUGCCACUUGUUUUGUGGGCGCAAGUUCGCGCAAUAAGAAGUUAAUUUCGUCAUUCACAGUUUUGAUACUGCACCAUUCUUUUCAUC
rnacentral:lncRNA from 1 species